UGGGGAAUAUUGGGCAAUGGGGGAAACCCUGACCCAGCAACGCCGCGUGAAGGAAGAAGGCCUUCGGGUUGGUAAACAUUCUUUUAUCCAGGGAGCGAAGGACGUGACGGUACCUGGAGAAAAAGCAACGGCUAACUACGUGCCAGCAGCCGCGGUAAUACGUAGGUUGCGAGCGUUGUCCGGAUUUACUGGGUGUAAAGGGCGUGUAGGCGGAGAAGCAAGUUGGGAGUGAAAUCUAUGGGCUCAACCCAUAAACUGCUCUCAAAACUGUUUCCCCUUGAGUAUCGGAGAGGCAAGCGGAAUUCCUAGUGUAGCGGUGAAAUGCGUAGAUAUUAGGAGGAACACCAGUGGCGAAGGCGGCUUGCUGGACGACAACUGACGCUGAGACGCGAAAGCGUGGGGAGCAAACAGGAUUAGAUACCC
rnacentral:rRNA from 1 species